UCAAAAUCUCAGUAAUUUAAAGUAACAAAUGAUUAUGGUUUUUGCUCCCAAGUCUGCAGGUUAUUUGGGUUAGCCUCUCCUUCAUGCUGUGGUUUACCUGAGCUUGACUCCUGGCUGUGGGGGUGAAGUCACAUCUGAUCCACUUUCUUCAAUCAGUGGCUACUCAAGGUCUAUGUGGUAGGGAACUGAAGCCUCCUGACAACAUCUAUGUGAGUGAGUAAACUUGAAAACAGAUCCUUUAUCCCUAAAUGACUGCAAUACUGGUCAACAGCUUGACUACAGCCUAUGAGAUGCCUGAGAUAGAACUUUCCUGUUAAGCUUCAUCAGAAUCUUGACCCUCAGAAACUGUGUGAGGUAGUAAAUGCUUGUCACUUUAAGUUUCAAGAUUUAAUUAGUUUUGUACCAAUAGCGAACUAAUAUAUGGAUAAAAAUAUCUUUGCCUUAUAUUUUAUGAAAACAAAUCAUGUGAAUUCUGUCUUUAUGUAAUAUUCAGUUUUAAUAUAAAAUAAUGCUUCAGAUUACACUCUAUAAGUUAGACUGAUGUUUUAAGAAGAUUGCCCUCUUUAUCCUUUUUUUUUCCCCCUUGGGGGCCCUGGUCAAAACAUCUGCUUUCAAACAUCCUUAUAUUACAAAUGUCAAAUAUAAAAUGCAAAAUACCCAGGAUUAUUUUUAAUGAGAAAUGUCUUGCCUACAUGGAAAAAAAAACUAAAAUUUUUUUUUUCUGAAAAAGCAAAAUGAAGAUAUGAAAUAGGGAGAUAAAUCUUCCCAAAUUUAUUAAUAAAUCUGGAGUAAUUCCAAAACAAAAAGAGGAGAUAGCAUAAUAUAAUGCAUAAGAAUUCUUGCUCUAAAGUCAAAUGGCCUGAGCAACCUACUGACUCUAACAUUUACCGGCUCUGUGAUAGAGAGCAAAUUAUUUAAUUCUGUGUGCUUCAGUAUAGUCACCACCUUUGAGCAGAAUAAACAAGACAAUCAAAAUGGA